AGCCGAAACGCUCCGAUCUGGAGCGUCAGCCGUGGGAUCGCCUCCCGGCUCUGAUGAUGGCAGGCGGGA
rnacentral:hammerhead_ribozyme from 1 species